GGGCACAUGGUCUAGUGGUAUGAUACUCCCUUCGCAUAACAAAAUUCACUGUGAUUUGGGAGGGGUCCGGGGUUCAAUUCCCUGUGUGUCCA